GGGAAGGUAGCUCAGCAGUAGAGUGCAUGCCUUGCAAGCAUGAGGACCUGGGUUCAAUUCCGCAGCACCA
rnacentral:tRNA from 1 species